rnacentral:rRNA from 1 species
UACGGAGGGUGCGAGCGUUAUCCGGAUUCACUGGGUUUAAAGGGUGCGUAGGCGGGUAGGUAAGUCAGUGGUGAAAUCUUCGGGCUCAACCCGGAAAUUGCCGUUGAUACUAUCUAUCUUGAAUAUCGUUGAGGUUUGCGGAAUAAGUCAUGUAGCGGUGAAAUGCUUAGAGAUGACAUAGAACACCUAUUGCGAAGGCAGCAGGCUAAACGAAGAUUGACGCUGAGGCACGAAAGCGUGGGGAUCAAACAGG